UCAUAAAGUUUUCACGAAAAUAAAAAGACUUGAUACUUUUUACGAAGGUUUAUGCAAAGGCGAUGACGUUAUUCCCCAAUACUUAGACAAGAAAAUAAAUUGCUGUUUUAAUUA